GAAAUGCGAUAAGUAGUGUGAAUUGCAGAAUUCAGUGAAUCAUCGAAUCUUUGAACGCACAUUGCGCCCUUUGGUAUUCCUUAGGGCAUGCCUGUUCGAGCGUCAUUUAACCCCUCAAGCCCAGCUUGGUGUUGGGCGUCUGUCCCGCCUCCGCGCGCGGACUCGCCUCGAAGACAUUGGCAGCCGGUACGUUGGCUUCGAGCGCAGCAGAAACGCGCCUCGCGCCCGGCGGACCGGCUCUCCAGGAAGCCUCUCCACUCUUGACCUCGGAUCAGGUAGGGAUACCCGCUGAACUUAA
rnacentral:misc_RNA from 1 species